rnacentral:rRNA from 1 species
UAGUCCUAACCAUAAACGGUGUACACUUGGUGUGCGAGGAAUUGUCCCUUUGCGCGCCGUAGCUAACGCGUUAAGUGUACCGCCUGGGGAGUACGGUCGCAAGAUUAAAACUCAAAGGAAUUGACGGGGACCCGCACAAGCGGUGGAGCAUGUGGCUUAAUUCGAUGCAACGCGAAGAACCUUACCUGGACUUGACAUGCAAGUGGUAGGAGUCCGAAAGGGUGACGACCGUAGCAAUACGGAGCUUGCACAGGUGCUGCAUGGCUGUCGUCAGCUCGUGCCGUGAGGUGUUGGGUUAAGUCCCGCAACGAGCGCAACCCUUGUGGUUAGUUGCCCUUAUUAAGUUAGGCACUCUAGCCAGACUGCCUGUGAUAAGCAGGAGGAAGGUGGGGGAUGACGUCAAGUCAGUAUGGGUCCUUAUGUCCAGGGGCUGCACACGUGCUACAAUGGGCCAGCACAGAAGGAAGCAAUACCGCAAGGGU